rnacentral:rRNA from 1 species
AGUGAACGCUGGCGGCGUGCCUAACACAUGCAAGUCGAACGAUGAUAGGAAGCUUGCUUCCUUGAUUAGUGGCGCACGGGUGAGUAUACCAUAGAUAAUGUACCUCUUAGUUCGGGAUAGCCACUGGAAACGGUGAUUAAUACCGGAUACUCCUUCUCGUUAUAAGGCGAGUCGGGAAAGUCUUUUCGCUAAGAGAUCAGUCUAUGUCCUAUCAGCUAGUUGGUGAGGUAAUGGCUCACCAAGGCUAUGACGGGUAUCUGGUUUGAGAGGAUGAUCAGACACACUGGAACUGAGACACGGUCCAGACUCCUACGGGAGGCAGCAGUGAGGAAUAUUGCACAAUGGAGGAAACUCUGAUGCAGCAACGCCGCGUGGAGGAUGACGCAUUUCGGUGUGUAAACUCCUUUUAAGAGGGAAGAUAAUGACGGUACCUCUUGAAUAAGCACCGGCUAACUCCGUGCCAGCAGCCGCGGUAAUACGGAGGGUGCAAGCGUUACUCGGAAUCACUGGGCGUAAAGGGUGCGUAGG